rnacentral:rRNA from 1 species
UACGAAGGGGGCUAGCGUUGCUCGGAAUCACUGGGCGUAAAGGGUGCGUAGGCGGGUCUUUAAGUCAGGGGUGAAGUCCUGGAGCUCAACUCCAGAACUGCCUUUGAUACUGGGGAUCUCGAGUCCGGGAGAGGUGAGUGGAACUGCGAGUGUAGAGGUGAAAUUCGUAGAUAUUCGCAAGAACACCAGUGGCGAAGGCGGCUCACUGGCCCGGAACUGACGCUGAGGUGCGAAAGCGUGGG